GAAAGGGAGCUCAUGGCUUGCCUCGAAGACACCUAUCUGCUAUAUCUUCACAUCCUAGGAUUCUGAAAAUCACCCACUAAUAGCUCCAGUUGGAGUUGAGCUUUGUGCAGGGGGAAAGAUAAAAAUUUAGUGUCAUUCUUUUAAAUGUAUAUAUCCAGUUUUCCCAGCACUGCAUUUUCUCCAAUAUGGAUUUUGAUUCUUUGUAAAAACAAACAAACAAACAAAUAACCCCCCCAAAUAUAAAACAAAACAAAAUGAAAAUAAAACCAAAAAUACCAAAAAAAACCAGAGGUGGCAAAUGGUGUGGGAACUUAUAUUUGGGUCUUUUAAUCUAUCCCAUUGAACUAUGUAUGUAUUUACUUUUGUGAUAGUGACAUGCUGUUUUCAUGCCUAUGGAUCUGUAGUGUAACUUGAAAACGGAUAUUAUGAUACUUCUAGCAGUGUUCUUAUCGUUCAGGGUCAUUUUGCUAUCUAGAGUGUUUUUGUGCUUCCAAUCAGACUAAAAUUUAAAUUUUUCUUAAUUCUUUGAGAAUGUUAUACCAUGUAUCUUAUGCAUAUACACUCCCCACUCACAACUGCUUCCAGAUCUACUAUCCACUUAACUCACCCAGCUUUCUGGUGCCUCUCUGCUUCUCCCUGCUUCUUUCCUCUUUAAAACCAUCACAUUCAAAAAUAUAAGACAAUAAUAGAGAAAGAAAUAGAGGCCAUAUAUUUAAGAUGGAAUGAGGAAAUAUACAUGGAAGGGAUUGUAAAGAAGAAAGGGAGAUAGGGAAAUAAUGUAAUUAUAUUUUAAUUUCAAAAAAGUACAGAAUAAAUGCUUUCAAUAUAAAAGUCAAUAAAAAUCACCAGUAAUUUGAAUAUAACCAAAAUAAAAGUACUAUGGCUGGGUUUACCUCAUUUCAUUUAAUUGAUUGAGAAAUGUUUCUUGGCUAUAUAGUCAAUAUAUAAAUAAUGCCCAUUAAGUUGUUGAAGGCCUUUGAAAUAUUAAAAUAGCUAGCAUAUGAUCCUCUAUAAUUUUGUCUUAUUACUCACCUCCGUUAACCAGCUAGAUAAAGUGUCUGAGACAAAUAUAAGCUUCUUGUUCUUCUUCUGAGGAAAUCAUAUUAAUAAGGACUACAUUUGAAAUUCUUUAUGUGAAGUGGUAUGAAUAGCUACUUUUAUGAAGGAAGUUUCUAUGUAUUUUAAAAUAGGAUAUGAUGUCAUAAAAGUCAUAAGAACUGUCUGGAAAUGUGAGAAAUUUUAAACAAGAGAUUACUUGUUUUAUUAAGUUAAUUAAAAUGCACAUCACUCUUUCUCCAUUCCUUGGUGAAUAGCAGGACAUUGUGCAAUUUUCUGUAUAUUUCAUCUGGCAAAUGUUAAACUGAGUACAGAACUAAAUUAAUUUGUUGUGUCAACAGUUUUGAGUAUCUAAUGUUAUAAAGCUUAAAUUGUAAUUGGAAAUGUGACACUUAACAUUGUGUCUUUUGGAGUGUUAUUGAAUUACUUCUUUUAUGCAUCAAGUAAAACAUGAAAUAAUAAAAGUUUUAGGUCUCUUAAUCAACAGCCAUUUGAAUUAUCAUAAAUAAAAGGCAAUUAGAUGUCAAGGCAAUAAAGCCCAAGGAAUGAAAAGGACCAGAUAAGUAGUUAAAAGAAUCCCCAUGUGUCAAAUUGCACAAAUAAACACAGCUUAGAAGUGGGGAUAAAUUUUCUUUCACAUAACAUGUUAUCUUGUUUUAAUGUGAUUAAAAUUCAACUUUGUGUCUGAUGUUGACUUCUUCUCUAAAUAUUUGCAUCUUAUCAAGGUUGUGAACUACUUUGGAAAUGAGAGCACGCUCCAGAGAAGAACUCUCAAGGGCCAAUAUCAGUUCGUUCAAUCUGCUUGGAACUAAAGAGAAACUCUAUGAGUUUGCCUAGAUUAAUUCUUGUGGCUGCCUUAGGGGCUUGCCAGUGGAGAAAAGGACAGCUGAAAUCUCAGAGGCGAAGACAGGAGAGGGAAUAACUAGAGAACCUUUCUGAGUGAUUUACUUUUAAAAGCUUUAAGUUUGGCCUUACUUAUAGGUCAUAUCUUUUUCUUGUGAUGGCUCAAACAUUUUCCUGUUUGUCCCAGUGAUUUG
rnacentral:lncRNA from 1 species